CUUACAGAGUUGUUUUAUCUAAUAUUGACAUAGCUACAGGUAGUGAAUGUUGUGAUAUUCUGCCCAGAUCCUCCAUCAGGACUGAUGGUAUUCCCUUAGCUGCUGGAAGUGCUACCAGAUGACAGCCUUCACUCACCAGCCCUCUGCAGGAAUUGUCCUCGCCUCACCCAAGGCCACAGCCUGCAUCCUGUGACUGGUCAGAGCAAGUCAGGACCUUGGUAUGCUAGAUGCCUGAAGAGUGAAGCUCGAGGCCCUUGAGGUUUACUUCCUCACUCCAGAGUAAGCCCUUUGGAGACCGAACCCACAAUGGAGAUUAUGGUAGGCACUAAACUCUGACCUGUGUUAUUUAACUCUGACCUGUGUUAUUUAGUACUGCAAGUCUACCAAACAAACAGCUGCCUCUCUGCUGCUUUCCAGAGUCCAAGGAAAACGCAGCAGUAAUUUGGGAUGGAGGAGGGACCAAAGAGGAGGAUGCAUCCUGCUACUUCCAAAGAUGAUAUUCCCCAUCUCUUCCCUCUUUCGUCACUACCUUGAGCGAAAAUCCAACAGAGAUGCCUUUGAUUUAUGUAUCCUAUCACAUAGCUGUAUUUUAGCUGCAAAGAAUGCUGGAAAACUAGCAUUUUAAGGUUUUAUAGAGGGUGUUGUAGACAGAAUUCUAAGAUGAUCCCAUGAUCUCUGCUUCCUUGGUGUUGCAGCUACGAUUAGGUUACACUGCAUGGCGAAGGAAUUUUACAGAUCUAAUUAAGCUCCCAAAUCGGCUGAAUUUGAGUUCAUAAGGGAAAUUAUUCUGUGGGUCUAAUAUAAUUAUAUGAGUUCUUUAAAAGCAGAGUUUUCUCCAGCUGGUAGCAGAAGAUGUAAUGAGAGAGAUUCCAAGUGUGAGAAGGACUGAACACGCCACUGCUGCCUAGAAGAUGGAAGGAGCCACGUGGCAAGGAAUUCCAGUUCCUGGAAGCUGUGAGCACCCUCCAAUCUCCCCACCCUCCAGCAGCCAGCAAGGAAACAGGGGCCUCAGUCCUACAAUCACAAGGAAUGGAACUCUGCAAAUAACAGAACAUGAUACAACUAGGAGUAGCUGAGGCUGCCUCAUCCCUGAAGUGGACUGCUCAGCUAUUCUGUUUACCUAAAGAGGUUUGCAAAAGGAUUGCUGUGCACAAACUGAGC